CCCUCAUCCCUCUCUGACUAGA
rnacentral:miRNA from 1 species